rnacentral:tRNA from 1 species
GAGGGUAUAGCUCAGUGGUAGAGUGCAUGCUUAGCAUGCACAAGGUCCUGAGUCGGAGCCCCAGUACCUUCA